rnacentral:rRNA from 1 species
CCUACGGGGGGCAGCAGUGGGGAAUAUUGCACAAUGGGGAAACCCCGAUGCAGCCACGCCGCGUGAGCGAUGAAGGCCUUCGGGUCGGAAAGCUCUGUCCUUAGGGAAGGAUACUGACGGUACCUUAGGAGGAAGCCCCGGCUAACUCCGUGGCAGCCGCCGCGGUAAUUCGUAGGGGGCUAGCGUUAUCCGGAAUUACCGGGCGUAAAGGGUGCGUAGGCGGGCCUUCAAGUCAGAGGUGAAAGGCUACGGCUCAACCGUAGUGAGCCUUUGAAACUGUAGGGCUUGGGUGCAGGAGAGGAGAGUGGAAUUCCCAGUGUAGCGGUGAAAUGCGUAGAUAUUGGGAGGAACACCAGUUGCGAAGGCGGCUCUCUGGACUGUAACUGACGCUGAGGCACGAAAGCGUGGGGAGCGAACAGGAUUAGAUACCCUUGUAGUC